CCAAAAUCAAAACCAGAAUCUAAAAAAAUCCCCAAACAACAACGACCUCCUCAAAUCACAAGCCCACCAGGCAACGAAAAAGCCUCAAAGCGGAGGGCACUCGGGAGGGGGCCGGUGCGGUGCGGCGUCACUGCCCGGCCUGAUCUCUCGUGCACCUUUGGGCUACACCGCGCUCUGCCACCACCGGCUGAGGCACCACGCACGCCUGCGCUGGCCGGGACCCCCCGGUGACCCCGGCGCGACUGCGCCCGGCCCGGCCGGCAGGUGCGCGGCGACAGCCGGCUUCGAGGCCCACCGCUCCAGAGAAGAGUGGAAAGAGAUACUGUCAGCCCCACUGCAAACUUUCCAGUGCAAUAUAUAUUCUCCUUUUCCACUCAGCUGUCCUGACGACUACUGA
rnacentral:lncRNA from 12 species